rnacentral:lncRNA from 1 species
UUGCAAAUUUUACCAUGUUCUUCAUUGAGGGCUUUAUGUUGACAAACCAAUCUUUCCUUCCAGACAUGUGUGAUGAGCAUCAUGAGUCCAAGUACUACUGGUCCUUGAAUCUCUCUUCAUCUCUUAUAGUAACCAUCAACAAUGUCUCUUCUUCUUCAUGUUUCGCCAGCUUUGCAUAAGAUUCUUGAUUCUUCUCAUUUUCUGGACAAUCACUAGAAUAAUGACCAUACUUCUGAAAAUUGUAACACUGAAUGUGACUCUUGUCUGACUUUUG